UCAUAUGUAUAUGCCUACAAAAUUAAUGCAUUGGAUACCAUUAGAACUCCAUAGUUAAGAGCUCUUGGGAUAGAGUAGUAUUGGGAUGGGUGACCUCUUAGGAAGCCCUAGUGUUUUACAUGCC
rfam:Picea glauca, whole genome shotgun sequence.